GAAGCAAUAUCAGAGUCAGAUGCAGAAGGAGAAUCAUAAUCAAAGACACAGGCAGAAGAAACAGUAUUCACAAAAUCAAAGUUGGUAGACAUGUAGAAGGAAGGGGGAAAAGAAGAAUGCAAUGAAAAUAUGCAACUAAAGCAACCUAAAUGCAACACACAAUGACGAACACGAACAGAACAUCACACUCACAAGACAAGACAAAACAAAACACACACUAACACAACAAAGACCUAAAACCGAACCGUUGGUCCCCGGCAACAGCGCCAAAAUUUGAUG
rnacentral:lncRNA from 1 species